rnacentral:rRNA from 1 species
UUCCGGUUGAUCCUGCCGGACCCGACUGCUAUCGGGGUGGCGCUAAGCCAUGGGAGUCGCACAUCCCACCGCCGUGGGGUGUGGCGAACGGCUGAGUAACACGUGGCUAACCUACCCUCGGGACGGGGACAACUCCGGGAAACUGGAGCUUAUCCCCGAUAGGCGGGGAGUCCUGGAACGGUUCUCCGCCCAAAGGGAUGGGAGGGGGUUAUCGCCUUCUAUCCGCCCGAGGAUGGGGCUGCGUCCCAUCAGGUUGUUGGCGGGGUAACGGCCCGCCAAGCCUAUAACGGGUAGGGGCCGUGAGAGCGGGAGCCCCCAGAUGGGCACUGAGACAAGGGCCCAGGCCCUACGGGGCGCACCAGGCGGGAAACCUCCGCAAUGCGGUAACCCGUGACGGGGUCACCCCGAGUGCUCCCCUUAUGGGGAGCUUUUCCCCGCUGCAGGAAGGCGGGGGUAAUAAGUGGGGGGCAAGACUGGUGUCAGCCGCCGCGGUAAUACCAGCCCCACGAGUGGUCGGGACGGUUAUUGGGGCCUAAAGCGCCCGUAGCCGGCCCAGCAAGUUCCUGCCUAAAUCACCGGGCUCAACCCGGUGACUGGUGGGAAUACUGCUGGGCUAGGAGGCGGGAGAGGCCGGGGGGUACUCCUAGGGUAGGGGCGAAAUCCUAUAAUCCUAGGAGGACCACCAGUGGCGAAGGCGCCCGGCUGGAAACGCGCUCGACGGUGAGGGGCGAAA